rnacentral:tRNA from 1 species
UGGCGGGUAGUUCAAUGGCAGAACGACGGCCUUUGGAGCCGUAUGUUGGAGGUUCGAGUCCUCCCCCGCCAGCCA